GAAGACGUGGGCCAACAAACAUGAUACAGUUUGCUUUGAGGUCGGAUGCACUGUAAGUCUGUGAAUGGACUUGCUAACGCUGGCUCUCACUUCUGACGAACAAGGUGUGUGGACUUACGUUUGCUGGACAGAAGCUUCUCAAAAGACAGUUUCCACAGCAGACAUUCCUCCAAGGUCAACCUGCAAAGAUGCUGCUCAAGUCUUGUCUCUGCAGAAAUCCUCCUACGCAUGCCUUUAAUCUUUUGGCCCUGAUGUUAGAA